AUUGGUCAGACAGCGCGCUAGCAUAUCCGGUCUUCUACACCAUCUAUGAUCCACACGUCUGGUAGCAUCUCUAGCUGCUGUUGACCUUGUUUUUGGAGUAAAACACGGUGGAAGCUGAAUUAGUGAGGAUGACUCCUGCUCCUGUCAUCUCUAAGCUCCUCACACAUCUUUACCUGCACAUGAGGAAAAUCACUCCUGUAGAAUGCAGUGGUUCAUCAGAACCUCUGGGGAUGUCCUGUGGAUUCUGUGGAUCCUGUGGGUUGCAGGGUGGGUCCUACCUAGACCAGGCUGAUCCUGGACCAUCCCACAGAUGCUCCAUCAGAUCUGGAUGUGGGGAGUGUGGAACCCAGAUGUUCAGAGGGAGAUGAUGCCACAUCUGGUCCAGCUGAUGGAAGGUCUUGAAGUUCUCUGACUGGCCUCGACUGAAGACGGUCGUCUCACUGGAUUUAAGGUUCAGAUGCUCAGUAACAAACUCCACCAAUGAGCCAACAGGGAAGCUUUAGGUUUAUUAAAUGUUGCUAUGAAGGUAUCGCUGUUUUUCUUUGUGAAUGCAAUGUGCUCCAGCUGAAAGUUGAAUUAGAACUUAGAAGUAAAUCCUUCACUCUGAAAGGAUUUAUUUGCAUUAAUAACCUCAUAACAUUCUAAUUUUUAUUCCAGUCUUGGCUGGAAAUAGAAUCUCUGUAUUGAUUCAGGUAAAAACUGAACUUCACAGCAUGUUGGAGCAAAACAACCAGAUGAAAACUGUGAUGGUGUUGGAUUGUCAGACCGUAAUGUUGCAGCUCAAAGCAGCUUUUCUAUCUCAGUUCAUUCUGACAUUCAGCUAUGAAUCAAUACAGCAGAUGGUGAUCUAUGCUGUGGAAGUCUCACAUCUCCUGAUUUAAUGGAGCUGCUUUGCACUUUUUACACUGUUUAUUCACCAACACUUUAUUUAAUAAAAGUCCCAUCUAGUUUUUAUGAGGAAUUUGAUGUGUUAAUUUCUCUGUGAAUAACUGCAGUCUAAUGCAACAGCUGGAGUUGUAACAUCUGUCCUGAUAUUGAUCAUGAAGUAUUGAUCAGAAUACUUAUGGUUAGCAGUCAUCCCUGAAGUUUUACAUUAAAAUCUUUACUUUGGUAAGAAGCAGAAACGUUAGCGUUGCCAUGGAUACAUGAGUGUUAAAUUCUGUCCAUGUUUCCAUUUUGGGAAAUUCAGUCCAGUUCCAGAAUGUGGAGGAAUUUAGUCUCAAUCACAGACAACAAAUAUUAUCUGAAAGUCGGGUUAUUGUUGUUUAUCAGCACAAUACAAAAAGAUUAAUGUCAGAAAUAUUCCAGUUAAGAGUCUAAAAUAUCAUGAUUUAUGUAAAUGUACCUCAAUAAUAUGAAUGUUCAGGUUAAGAUUGUGCAGUGAUAUUUAUUAUGUAAGUUUAGCUGAUUAAAGUUUAUGACUCUGCACUAAAAUAUUAUUUAAAUUGACAUCAUUAUUAUAAUAUUUAGGGUCAGACCCUACAGUAUUGAGAUUAAGAAAUCAAAUAUUCUAUAAAAUGUAAAUAAACUGAACUCAUUUGGAUAUAUUUAAAUGAGACUCUACAAUAUUAUUUGACACAAAUCUAGCUAAAUCAAAAUUUUAAUAAUUUUCAUGCCAAACAUUUACUGGACUGAUUUAAAUAUUAAAAUCACUCUUUUCUAAUCCUCUGCUGUACGUUCAAACCUGAGGCCUUAAAUAGAAACACACAAGUAUCUGAUUGAAGGAACUUCUGCAGAGUCCUGGUUCCAGAACAUGAUGAUAGAAUUAUAGACAAACUUUAACAAAAGCUGCCUGAGAGUUUACAGGUUUUUAUGUUGGAUUUCUUCAGUAAUUUAAUGAGAGUUAUCAGCAAAAAUCAAGUGUUCAUUUGAUGAACUUCAUUUCCUAAAACAUCCAGAAUUGGAGCUCAUAUCUUUGGCAGCUGUAAAGUUUCUGCUCCUUCAAAGUUCACAACACAAUGAAUGAAUUCCUAAAACACUCUCAAUGCUGGAGAGCGUUUGAUGCUGAAGCAGUGACCAGUUUUUCAGUUUCUUCUCUGGAGAUGCACAAUGAGGGACGUCUGCAGAGACUGAGAAAGAGUCUCACCACAUCCUGACAUGAGGAAAAAAACUUUAUUGAAGACUACAAUGAGAAAAAAUAUCAGACAGCAGACGGCUGCAUUCAAGGUGAGCUCUGAACAUUUGAUCUGGAACAGGAAUUCAAUAACAGCAGCAUGAGCUUCAUUUCAGUCUGUAGCUGUUGAAUUCAUGGAUGAAUCAUCUGGCACUAGAGAAGAAGACCAUCAAACAUCCAUGUCAGCUGAUGGAGGUCCAAGAGUCUCACCGAACAACCAAUCUACAGAGUGAAGACCUCGAAUCUGAUUGGACGGCCUCCUAUUCAGCCACAUGUGUGAACAAAUGCCUCUAAGCUGAUUUGUUUUCUAAAAUAAAUCUAGUUUGAGUCCUAA